rnacentral:rRNA from 1 species
UACGAGGGGAGCUAGCGUUGUUCGGAGUUACUGGGCGUAAAGCGCGCGUAGGCGGUUUCUUAAGUCAGAGGUGAAAGCCUGGAGCUCAACUCCAGAACUGCCUUUGAAACUGGGCAACUUGAAUCUUGGAGAGGUCAGUGGAAUUCCGAGUGUAGAGGUGAAAUUCGUAGAUAUUCGGAAGAACACCAGUGGCGAAGGCGACUGACUGGACAAGUAUUGACGCUGAGGUGCGAAAGCGUGGGGAGCAAACAGG